rnacentral:rRNA from 1 species
AACGAACGCUGGCGGCGCGUCUUAAGCAUGCAAGUCGGGCGGGAUCACGGCGCUUGCGCCGUGUGAGAGCGGCGGACUGGUGAGUAAACACGUGGGCGACACGCCCCCCGGACGGGGAUAGCCGGUAGAAAAUACCAGGUAAUACCGGAUACGGCCGUACGUAUUGGAAGCGUACGGGGAAAGGAGCCUCGGCUCCGCCGGGGGAGUGGCCCGCGGCCCAUCAGCUUGCUGGCGGUGUAAGGGACCACCAGGGCUAUGACGGGUAUCCGGCCUGAGAGGGUGGACGGACACAUUGGGACUGAGAUACGGCCCAGACUCCUACGGGAGGCAGCAGCUAAGAAUAUUCCGCAAUGGGGGGAACCCUGACGGAGCGACGCCGCGUGGACGAUGGAGGCCGGAAGGUUGUAAAGUCCUUUUAUACGUGAAGAAUAAGCGGGGGAGGGAAUGCUCCCGCGGUGACCGUAGCGUAUGAAUAAGCGCCGGCUAAUUACGUGCCAGCAGCCGCGGUAACACGUAAGGCGCGAGCGUUGUUCGGAACCAUUGGGCGUAAAGGGCAUGUAGGCGGCCCGGUAAGUCGGGAGUGAAAGGCGGGGGCUCAACCCCCGGACUGCUCCCCGAUACUGUCGGGCUUGAGUCGCCGUGGCGCGGCCGGAAUUCCAGGUGUAGGGGUGAAAUCUGUAGAUAUCUGGAAGAACACCGGUGGCGAAGGCGGGCCGCGAGCGGACGACUGACGCUGAGGUGCGAAGGUGCGGGGAGCGAACAGGAUUAGAUACCCUGGUAGUCCGCAUAGUAAACGAUGCGCGCUGGGCGUCCGGGCAUGAGUCCGGGUGCCGAAGCAAACGCGGUAAGCGCGCCGCCUGGGGAGUAUGCCCGCAAGGGUGAAACUCAAAGGAAUUGACGGGGGCCCGCACAAGCGGUGGAGCAUGUGGUUUAAUUCGAUGGUACGCGAGGAACCUUACCUGGGUUUGACAUACAGGGGGACUAUGCGGAGACGCAUAGGCGCGGCAACGCGCCCCUGAACAGGUGCUGCAUGGCUGUCGUCAGCUCGUGCCGUGAGGUGUUGGGUUAAGUCCCGCAACGAGCGCAACCCCCGCCGCCAGUUGCCAGCAGGUGAAGCUGGGGACUCUGGCGGGACCGCCGGCGACAAGCCGGAGGAAGGUGGGGACGACGUCAAGUCAUCAUGGCCCUUAUGUCCAGGGCUACACACGUGCUACAAUGGCGGGCACAGAGCGCAGCGAGGCCGCGAGGCGGAGCGAAGCGCAGAAAGCCCGUCCCAGUCCGGAUCGGAGUCUGAAACCCGACUCCGUGAAGUUGGAAUCGCUAGUAAUCGCGCAUCAGCACGGCGCGGUGAAUACGUUCCCGGGCCU